UACAGAGGGUGCAAGCGUUGUUCGGAAUUAUUGGGCGUAAAGCGCGUGUAGGCGGCAUGGCAAGUCGGGUGUGAAAGCCCUCAGCUCAACUGAGGAAGUGCGCCCGAAACUGCUUUGCUUGAGUGCUGGAGAGGGUCGCGGAAUUCCCCAAGUAGGGGUGAAAUUCGUAGAUAUGGGGAGGAACACCGGUGGCGAAGGCGGCGACCUGGACAGUAACUGACGCUGAGACGCGAAAGCGUGGGUAGCAAACAGG
rnacentral:rRNA from 1 species